GAUGAACGCUAGCGGUGUGCCUAAUGCAUGCAAGUCGAACGGGAUCCUUUGGAUUCGUCUGAAGGUGAGAGUGGCGAACGGGUGAGUAACACGUAGGUGACCUGCCCCGGAGAGGGGGACAACCACUGGAAACGGUGGCUAAUACCCCAGAUGUUAUUGCGCUUAGAAAGCAAUUACUAAAGUUCCGGCGCUCCGGGAGGGGCCUGCGGCCCAUCAGCUUGUUGGUAAGGUAAUGGCUUACCAAGGCUAAGACGGGUAGGGGGCGUGAGAGCGUGACCCCCCACACUGGUACUGAGACACGGACCAGAUACCUGCGGGUAGCAGCAGCAAGGAAUAUUGCCCAAUGGACGAAAGUCUGAGGCAGCAACACCGCGUGGAGGAUGAAGGCCUUCGGGUUGUAAACUCCUUUUCUGGGGGAAGAGAAAGGACGGUACCCCAGGAAUAAGUCUCGGCUAACUACGUG
rnacentral:rRNA from 1 species